UGUCAGUGUUCUGCUUUGAUUGGGGU
rnacentral:sRNA from 1 species